GGGAAAAAAGGGGGAGGCCGUAUUUUAAUUUUGAGUUCUCGAAAGUUUGAAGUAGUCUCCUGCACUGGUAAGGUGUACUGACUUAGGGCAGUGUCAUUUAGCUAACAAUGGAGAGGAAGUGUCAUGUGGCAUGCCCCGCUAUAGUCAGGAAGACCUCUCCGACCAAAACCUUUGCAGUCUUGCUUAACUGCGAGAGCAGCUCUGUUUCCAGUGAUGGAAAUGUUGACGGGCG
rnacentral:lncRNA from 1 species